rnacentral:rRNA from 1 species
AACGAACGCUGGCGGCAUGCCUAACACAUGCAAGUCGAACGAGACCUUCGGGUCUAGUGGCGCACGGGUGCGUAACGCGUGGGAAUCUGCCCUUCGGUUGGGAAUAACUGAGAGAAAUUUCAGCUAAUACCUUAUAAUGUCUUCGGACCAAAGAUUUAUCGCCGAGGGAUGAGCCCGCGUAGGAUUAGGUAGUUGGUGGGGUAAUGGCCUACCAAGCCGACGAUCCUUAGCUGGUCUGAGAGGAUGAUCAGCCACACUGGGACUGAGACACGGCCCAGACUCCUACGGGAGGCAGCAGUGGGGAAUAUUGGGCAAUGGGGGAAAGCCUGGUCCAGCAAUGCCGCGUGAGUUGUUAAGGCCUUAGGGUUGUAAAGCUCUUUUACCCGGGAUGAUAAUGACAGUACCGGGAGAAUAAGCUCCGGCUAACUCCGUG